GGUAUUUUGACCGUGCAAAGGUAGCAUAAUCAUUAGUUUUUUAAUUGAAAGCUGGAAUGAAAGGUUGGAUGAGAAAAAAGCUGUCUCUAUUUAAUUUAUUUAGAAUUUUAUUUUUAAGUUAAAAAGCUUAAAUUUAGAUAAAAGACGAGAAGACCCUAUAGAGUUUUAUUAGUUUUUUUUAUAGAGUUAAUGGUAUUUUUUGUCUUUAUAGGAAAAAUUAAUUUAGUUGGGGUGAUUGAAAAAUUGAAUUAACUUUUUUUUUAUAUUUACAUUAAUAAAUGGCUAUUUGAUCCUUAAUUUAAGAUUAAAAGAUAAAAUUACCUUAGGGAUAACAGCGUAAUUUUUUUUGAGAGUUCAAAUCGAAAGAAAAGAUUGCGACCUCGAUGUUGGAUUAAAAUAAAAUUUUGGUGUAGAAGCUAAAA
rnacentral:rRNA from 1 species